GGGGUCGUAUUUGGCUUCGACAGGAAUAACGGAAGCUUAAUUGCAAGUCGUAGGAAUACGUUAAAUUCAAAAUUAAAUAUAGCUGGAAACGACUAUAAUACAAAUGCUGGUGGCGCUUUAGCUUUUGCUUAAGCCUUAUAAGAUAAAAGAGACAGCAUAUUUUAGUAAGUCUUUGUCUAUGAGAUUUAUUAAAAUUUUAUAAAGUAGACUAUAUUUUAUUAUUUUCCUAGGUAAUAAGAUGAAUAUUUUAGGAUAGUCUAUAGUUGUGUUUGUUAGUUAAUGUAUCUAUAGAUGAAUUUAUUUAACUGACUAAGCUUGUAGAGAUUGGGUGAUUAAGUUAUUUUUGGACAGGGGUUCGAUUCCCCUCGACUCCACCA
rnacentral:tmRNA from 1 species